UAUAAAAAUAGAUAUUCAAAAUUUUUAUUUAUAAAAAUAGGUUGAUAAAAAUGGUGAAUGAUUCAUUGCUUUUACAUAAUUUAUAUAUUUUCUACAUCCAAAUUUCAAAAAAAAAAAAAUGCAUUGUAUUAAGCACAAAAUAAUUGUAAUCCUUUGAAGAAAGCGGUGAAUGAUUUACUGUAUUUAGAAAGUAGUAAUUUAUUUACCGUAUAGAACUAGUUUUGUAAAUAAAUUUUUAAGAGGACUACUUUUAUAAUUAUAAUAUUUUU
rnacentral:lncRNA from 1 species